rnacentral:tRNA from 1 species
GGAGGCGUUCCUCAUCUGGUGAUGGGCGCGGUCUUCAAAACCGUUGUGGCCGAGCAUCUCGGCCAGGCGGGUUCGAUUCCCGUCCGCCUCCGCCA